GAUGGAGGCAGGGAGGCCCCCCUGUGCUUGAGGGUGGCCUCGCCAUCAAGGCUGGGGCCUCCGUGCCUCCUGCCUUGCUUGUCCCCCUCAGCCACAGCUUGGCCGCUUCUAGGAGAUGGUGCCGUCUCUCCCACCAGCAGGCUCUCCCCCGGGAGCCUGCUCAGACCUGCCUUCCUCACAAAGCUCGGUAGCAACUCCCUGGGGCAGAAAAUGUCUCUUCUGAAAGCAAGACAAGAGUUUAAUUAAGCCCUAAACGCACACAGUUGAGCCUGAAAUUAGGGUGGUGAUGGGAGGGGGAGAAGGCAAUCGAGGACGGUGGGUAGCGGGGUGGGCUUCAACGCACUUCUGGCCCAGCUGAGCCAAACAAGCCUACAAGCAAACAUUUACAGAGCCUGUGGGCGUGGCUACAAAGCCUCUCUGACCUGGAGAGGGGAGAAUGCCACGUUUCCUGUCCUGUUUGGGCUCUCCCCAGGUUGUUGCUCAGACAGUCAAACCACAGCCUCCUCCUCUACCUGGCAAUUAAUCCUGCUGUGCCCUGCAACCUGGGUUGGGUCUUACUCUGCCAGGGACUGAAGCAAGAAGAGACGGGCCGCCGGGCGUGUUAUCGCUUGUCUCUGGGGCAGAGAAGCGGUUGCAACAGAGCCCCUGCGUGCGUGUGGACGUGCCUGCGUGGAGCAGUGAGGGAACAGGCUGUCCUCGGGGGGCGCCCUGUCCCCCUUCCCUGUGUGUGUGGCAGGCAACCCAAGGGCAGACCCCACUUGAUGGACACAGAAGCUGCUCUCACAGAAGCCAACCCCCCACCCCCCUGGACAGGUCAUCUAAUCAGUUAGUGGAGAUGCUAACUUCUGUGUUGCUUUGGAAGAAGAACCGGUCUCUGUGAUGCCUGGGCAUCCUUUCAGCUUUCACAGUCUGUCAAGGUCAAACCAAAGAGUUGAGUUCAAGUUCCCAUCCCUAGAGUUGUUGACAGGCAUUUUGCUAGAGGUGACACACCAUCCAUUACAAGCUGAGAGUCAAGGAUCUGGAAAAUGAGAAGCCCCUCCCCUAAGCCACAGACAGCCUGGAUGAGCACACCAAGACAGAGGUUCAGUAUCUUGCCGAAAGUUGAGAGGAGAAGCUACGAAUAAGACCAGCUCUGGCUCCCAAUCCACCCCACAGCUUUUGAUGGUACUCAGUGGUACACCCUUGGACCCCGAUGGUGUGGGCAGUUCUCCCACAGGUCUGGCCCGAGUCUCUCCUACUCUCGUCUGAAUUGGAUCAGAUGGAAGGACCAUGUCAGUAGGUCGGUUCUGCUCCCAACCCAGCCUCAAGAGACAUCACCCAUCCCUUGGUACAGGUGGUAGCCUUCCAGUUACUGGGGUGGGGAUGUUUGCCUUCUGUUAAUGAAAAGAAAUAGAUGUGAUAAUAAAUAAAUGCCCAACCCAGUGCAGCAAUCGAUGUCCCUAACAAUGAGGCUCUGUGUUUGCUCUCAGCUGUGGGUUAUGUUCAUUGGCCACAGUCACUGCUCAGGAGCCCCUGGGCACAUCAUCCUGGGUGGGUCCACAGG
ensembl:lncRNA